rnacentral:rRNA from 1 species
AGAGUUUGAUCCUGGCUCAGAUUGAACGCUGGCGGCAUGCCUUACACAUGCAAGUCGAACGGUAACAGGUCUUCGGAUGCUGACGAGCGGCGAACGGGUGAGUAAUACAUCGGAACGUGCCCGAUCGUGGAGGAUAACGAGGCGAAAGCUUUGCUAAUACCGCAUACGAUCUACGGAUGAAAGCGGGGGAUCUUCGGACCUCGCGCGGACGGAGCGGCCGAUGGCAGAUUAGGUAGUUGGUGGGAUAAAAGCUUACCAAGCCGACGAUCUGUAGCUGGUCUGAGAGGAUGAUCAGCCACACUGGGACUGAGACACGGCCCAGACUCCUACGGGAGGCAGCAGUGGGGAAUUUUGGACAAUGGGCGAAAGCCUGAUCCAGCCAUGCCGCGUGCAGGAUGAAGGCCUUCGGGUUGUAAACUGCUUUUGUACGGAACGAAAAGCCUCUUUCUAAUAAAGAGGGGUCAUGACGGUACCGUAAGAAUAAGCACCGGCUAACUACGUGCCAGCAGCCGCGGUAAUACGUAGGGUGCAAGCGUUAAUCGGAAUUACUGGGCGUAGAGCGUGCGCAGGCGGUUUUGUAAGACAGAGGUGAAAUCCCCGGGCUCAACCUGGGAACUGCCUUUGUGACUGCAAGGCUGGAGUGCGGCAGAGGGGGAUGGAAUUCCGCGUGUAGCAGUGAAAUGCGUAGAUAUGCGGAGGAACACCGAUGGCGAAGGCAAUCCCCUGGGCCUGCACUGACGCUCAUGCACGAAAGUGUCGGGAGCAAACAGGAUUAGAUACCCUGGUAGUCCACGCCCUAAACGAUGUCAACUGGUUGUUGGGUCUUCACUGACUCAGUAACGAAGCUAACGCGUGAAGUUGACCGCCUGGGGAGUACGGCCGCAAGGUU